ACGCGUCGCUGCCAUGCCUAUAUCGGUCCUACGAAGGCCUCACUCGAUGCUUCCGCGCGCUUGUUGGGAGACACCUCCAAACGAGUCGCGGUUCGACGAGGGAUGCCGUGGCGUAGUGAACCUGACGGCGUGUGAGUGGUGUUUGGGUCGUGCGGGUUGGCAGGCUCCUUGCUGGUGCAACGAACUGUCGCCGCGCGCCCCUUUUCAUUCUAGCUUCAAGCGCUUGAACAAGCCUUGGGCGCCGCGAGACCGCGGGUUCCUGUGUUGCCUUCCUAACAGACGGAAUUGUCCCUCGAACGUUGCCUGCCUCCGCCCGGCCGCUCACGCGGAGCGGGCGGACCUCGAAAGCGGUCGUCGUUCCCACGCCCGCCCCCCGCAUGCGCGCAUGAGGGGGACGGAGCGCGGGCCAGGAAGGCCGCUCGUGCUCUCGGAUGCGGAACCUUGACACGGGCGCGGGGUCCCUCGGGAUCCCGUACUCGCCCGAGCCGAGCGUUCGUCGCUAGACGCGUACGACGGCCGUCAUCGUCCUUGCCCUCCCGCCCCCCACCGCGGGGGGCUCGGCGAGGAGGAGCAUGCGGUGCCGGCGUCGCACAGGAAUGC
rnacentral:misc_RNA from 1 species